rnacentral:rRNA from 1 species
AGUGAACGCUGGCGGUAGGCCUAACACAUGCAAGUCGAACGGCAGCACAGGAGAGCUUGCUCUCUGGGUGGCGAGUGGCGGACGGGUGAGGAAUACAUCGGAAUCUACUCUGUCGUGGGGGAUCACGUAGGGAACAUUACUCUAAUACCGCAUACGACCUACGGGUUAAAGCAGGGGACCUUCGGGCCUUUCGCGACUGAAUCAGCCGAUGUCGGAUUAGCUAGUUGGCGGGGUAAAGGCCCACCAAGGCGACGAUCCGUAGCUGGUCUGAGAGGAUGAUCAGCCAAACUGGAACUGAGAUACGGUCCAGACUCCUACGGGAGGCAGCAGUGGGGAAUAUUGGACAAUGGGCGCAAGCCUGAUCCAGCCAUACCGCGUGGGUGAAGAAGGCCUUCGGGUUGUAAAGCCCUUUUGUUGGGAAAGAAAUCCAGCUGGCUAAUACCCGGUUGGGAUGACGGUACCCAAAGAAUAAGCACCGGCUAACUUCGUGCCAGCCGCCGCAGUAA